rnacentral:tRNA from 1 species
UGGUAUAUAGCUCAGUGGUAGAGCAACAGAUUGUUAAUCUGUGGGUCGUAGGUUCGAUACCUGCUAUGCCAG